rnacentral:tRNA from 1 species
GCCUGGGUGGCUCACUUGGUUAAGUGUCUGACUUUGGCUCAGGUCAUGACCUCAGUGCUUGUGGGUUUGAGCCCCUCUUUAGGCU